rnacentral:tRNA from 1 species
AGUGGAGUGGAGCAGUUGGUAGCUCGCCAGGUUCAUAUCCUGGAGGCCGCGGGAUCGAGACCCGCCUCCGCCA